UUUCCGUAGGUGAACCUGCGGAAGGAUCAUUAUUGAAACUUGAAUCGUAGCAUUGAGAACUGUUGCUGACCUGUUAAAGGGUAUGUGCACGUUCGACGUGUUGCGUUCUAUUCAUCCACCUGUGCACCUUUGUAGACUUGAUUAACUUUCGCUCUCGAGCGGUUAGAAGGGUUGCUUUCGAGCUCCCUUUGUCUAUCAAGUCUAUGUCUAUAUAAUCUCUUGUACGUCUAGAGUGUCUUGUUUAUGGGACGCAAGUCCUUUAAAUCUUAUACAACUUUCAACAACGGAUCUCUUGGCUCUC
rnacentral:misc_RNA from 1 species